GUGAGAGUUGGACUGUGAAGAAGGCUGAGUGCCGAAGAAUUGAUGCUUUUGAACUGUGGUGUUGGAGAAGACUCUUGCGAGUCCCUUGGACUGCAAGGAGAUCCAACCAGUCCAUUCUGAAGGAGAUCAGCCCUGGGAUUUCUUUGGAGGGAAUGAUGCUGAAGCUGAAACUCCAGUACUUUGGCCACCUCAUGGGAAGAGUUGACUUAUUGGAAAAGACUCUGAUGCUGGGAGGGAUUGGGGGAAGGAGGAGAAGGGGACGACAGAGGAUGAGAUGGCUGGAUGACAUCACUGACUCGAUGGACGUGAGUCUGAGUGACCUCCGGGAGUUGGUGAUGGACAGGGAGGCCUGGUGUGCUGCGAUUCAUGGAGUCACAAAGAGUCGGACACGACUGAGCGACUGAACUGACUGAACUGAACUGAGGACUCAGUUGCAACAACUUUGCAGGCAGAUUCAUUACCAUCUGAACCAUCAGGGAAGCCUUUGAACAAGAACAAAAUGAUGAACUGAGAAAUCCAGAUUGAUGGUUUGAGAAGGGAAGCUGGUCGAAGUUUUUAUAGAGCAUUCAACAAACUGACACAUCCAAAUUUGUGGGAGAAAAGGGAAUUUACUGAAGAACAGAAAGACCACAUUUGCAUCCUUGUAUAUGUAUCAUGCCUGUGAAGGUAAACAGCAGCUCAACUUCUACCACAACAUCAAAUGGUUCAAUAGUCAAGUACUAGAACCGAAUAUAAUAUUCCAAGCAGUCACCUAUGAAUUCGGGAUCUAAGCAUUCUGAGAACAACCGCUGCCUAGAGAUGUUCUAGGUUCAUUAGUUUGUGGACAGAAAUAUUGCUGUUCAUUCGACUGUGAUUUCCCAAUGACCUGUGUAACUUUUAUCAUGCAUCCAUUAAAAAUUAUGGGGCAGAAUACUACUUAAUGACACAGAAGGGAAGAUGUUCAUGAUAUUUUCUAAGUGAAAAAAGUGCCUUCCAAAAUGAUAGGUCAAGUAUGAC
ensembl:lncRNA